CACGGUUUGGCAUGGCUGGGAAAGCCUCAGGAAGCUUAUGAUCAUGAUGGAAGGGGACAGGCACGUCUUACAUGGCGCCAGCUCAGAAAGAAGCCAGCUGUCAUAUUGUGAGCUGCUUUAUGAAAGUGCCAUGUGGCAAGGAUCUGAGGACAGCCUCCAGCCAGCAGCCAGAAAAAAACCCGAAACUCUGAAUUCAACAGCUCUUGAGGAAUGGAAUCCUGCCAACAACCACGAGUGAGCUUGGAAAUGGAUCCUCCCCUAUCGAGCCGUGAUAUGACUGUAGCUGCUGUAGACAUCAUGGUUCCUGCCUUAUGAGAGACCCUGAGGUAGAGGCCCCAGCUAAGCUGCAUUUAGAUACCUGAUUUACCAAAAACCAUGGGAUAAUACAUGUUUUUC
rnacentral:lncRNA from 13 species